UACGGAGGAUGCGAGCGAUAUCCGGAUUUAUUGGGUUUAAAGGGUGCGUAGGCGGACUGUCAAGUCAGCGGUAAAAUACGGGGGCUCAACCUCAGCCCGCCGUUGAAACUGGCGUUCUUGAGUGGGCGAGAAGUACGCGGAAUGCGUGGUGUAGCGGUGAAAUGCAUAGAUAUCACGCAGAACCCCGAUUGCGAAGGCAGCGUACCGGCGCCCAACUGACGCUGAAGCACGAAGGCCAGGGGAGCGAAAGGG
rnacentral:rRNA from 1 species